GAGGGUAUAGCUCAGUGGUAGAGUGCAUACUUAGCAUGCACAAGGUCCUGAGUUCAAUCCCCAGUACCUCCA
rnacentral:tRNA from 1 species